rnacentral:rRNA from 1 species
CAGUCGCCGCGGGAAUACGAGGGGGGCAAGCGUUGUUCGGAAUUAUUGGGCGUAAAGGGUGCGUAGGCGGCCCCGCAAAUCUCAUGUGAAAUCUUCAGGCUCAACUUGAAGUCUGCAUGGGAAACUGCGGGGCUGGAGUAUGGGAGAGGUGAGUGGAAUUCCUGGUGUAGCGGUGAAAUGCGUAGAUAUCAGGAGGAACACCUGUGGCGAAAGCGGCUCACUGGACCAUAACUGACGCUGAGGCACGAAAGCUAGGGGAGCAAACAGGAUUAGAGACCCGUGUAGUCCCUGUCUCUUAUAC